rnacentral:misc_RNA from 1 species
UUGCGGCUGGAUCCCCUCCUUUCUAAGGAGCUAGAAGGCUUGACCUUCCAAGCUUACCUAGGUCAAAACAAUCACACUUGCUGCUAUUCGGUUUUGAGAGACCAGAGUGAUCUCUGGUUUUUUGUUCUUUACAACUAUUUGAUCGUGGAGACUGCGAUCUUACGAAUUGAUGGGCUUGUAGCUCAGUUGGCUAGAGCACACGACUGAUAAUCGUGAGGUCGCUGGUUCGAGUCCAGCCAGGCCCACCAACCUAUUUAUUGGGGGUGUAGCUCAGCUGGGAGAGCACCUGCCUUGCACGCAGGGGGUCAUCGGUUCGAACCCGUUCACCUCCACCAAUAAUUUUUACCGGUAGGUAUUUAUCUACCGGUACUAACAGUUCUUUGACAAUUGCAUAUGGAUAGUAAGUUUAGGUAGCGAUUACGUAUGAAGUGCUCUUGCGUAAUUGUUUAAAUUGUAUGAGAACUUGUAGAUUUGAUUUGAUUUUUUAUGGUCAAGCUACUAAGGGCGUACGGUGGAUGCCUAGGCAGAGAGAGGCGAUGAAGGACGUGGUAAACUGCGAUAAGCUUCGGUGAGCCGUUAAACAGGCUUUGACCCGGAGAUUUCCGAAUGGGGAAACCCGG